AUGGGAUCUUCGGUGCUUGCGAUGGUGGGAGCGUCCUGAUCUUCCAGAGCGUCCAGAUCCACGAGAUAAUUCACUUUCAUUGUCGGAAGUGCGACGAUGACGAUGCUUAUGUCUGAUAAGAUAAAUAUCCAAAUGACACUUUGGAAUGGAAGAGAUUUUUGAAGAUAAGAUAAUUAUUCAAAGUUCGUGUGCACAACUUUUAUCCAUGUCUCAGGAUGUACAAGUCAAUAUGGCUUUUAAGGAGCUCCACAAAUCACAAUCUGUCUACUGAUUUGACUCUAUCUUGAAGUUAUUUUGCGGCCUUGGCAUUAUCAAAAUAUUUUUGAUUUUCAAAUGGAAUACCAGAUAAAAGUUGCACACGCCUUUUCUUUAUAAGUUUUCUAGAUAAGUGAUUUUAUAAACUAACUAUUUCAGUUUUCUUGACCUUUUUCCAAUUAAUGUUAAAAUUAAAUAGUUUUGUAAUAAAUUUUUGUAUCUAACCUGCGAGUAGAUCGCGAAU